rnacentral:rRNA from 1 species
GUGAAGUGGUGAGCAGCGGCGGGGGGAAUACGAAGGGGGCUAGGGUGGCUCGGAAGAACUGGGCGUAAAGUGCACGUAGGCGGCUGUUUAAGUCAGGGGGGAAAUCCUGGAGCUCAACUCCAGAACGGCCUUUGAGACUGAGAAGCUUGAGUCCGGGAGAGGUGAGUGGAACUGCGAGUGUAGAGGUGAAAUUCGUAGAUAUUCGCAAGAACACCAGUGGCGAAGGCGGCUCACUGGCCCGGUACUGACGCUGAGGUGCGAAAGCGUGGGGAGCAAACAGGAUUAGAUACCCCGGUAGUC